rnacentral:lncRNA from 1 species
GGGUUGUACAAAGUAUUGUUUUAAAUAAGAUCUCCACUCCUGUUGUGGCAAGAUCACGGUUCUGCCUCUGUAAAUUUUGUGUUAUAAAUAAAUAAAUUUUGUGUUUGACAAAAAAACACAACAACUUAGGAUUAUUCAACAGAUUAAUCAAGGGACGAGAUUAGCAAGGAACGCUUUGGUUUGAAAGGCGAAUGCAUUGACCACCACAGAAAUGCU